AAGAAGGCAAAGAAAGAAAACAGGAAGAAGUGUGGCAGCACCCACAGGAGGGAAAUGCAGGUGAGAGAAGCCCUACCCUGCGGUGUCUUGAAAAACCAACUGGAGACACAACUUGAAAUACGUGUCAAGGCCAGAGAACUCUGACACUAAAUCUUCACGGGACUACCAGACUAAUGAAAUGAGCAUCCUUUCCACAACGAUGCCGUAUGGACAUUUCCAGCACAAGGACCAGUUCCCCGCACUGACAAGAGAAUUCCUUGCUCAACCAUAGUUCUGUCACCAGCAAAUAUGAAGUCCCUACUAAGCAUUAAUUGAUACUUGUACUCUCAAUACCUGCUUCUCUUUGUGAAUGAGACCUUGUAACAUUACGUUUUUCUUAUUUCCAUGCAUUGGGUACAGCUUCCUACCUUCCCUUGUGCAUCUUCCUGGGAUCUGGAUAUCAGGAGAUGCUAUACUUGUAUUCCCCAGUGAAAAGCUGACAACACUCUAUUGUCUGCCUACUAAUGAGCUUCCUUGUAUGGAAGAUGAUA